GUCCUGGCAGACCGUGCUGAGGCUGUUGGCGUUCGGGUGGCCCCGCCUCGUGUCCCGCCCCGUGUCCAGCCGGGACCCCACGCCGCGGGAGCUGCUGGUCUUCUCUUCCUCCGACCUCCCCUUCGACGCGGAAGCGCAGGGGCAGGUGCGCCGCCCUCGGCCCACGCAGGCGGUGGGCCCGCUUGGGGCAAGGCGCCCGAAAGCCCCUGGGGAAGGUGCCCAGUCCCCAGGAGCACAAUCUGUCCUGUUUGUCCACCGAACUACAACUCACACUCCACAGGUCCUGGAGCCUGAGAAAGACCCCCACAGGGAGCUCGCAGCCACGCACAGGUCCUGGGCUCCGGCGAGCCAGCCAUCACCACUUCACAGCAGAGACAGAGUUUCACCAUGGUGACCAGGCUGAUCUCAAACCCGACCUCAGGUGGUCCACCCACCUCGGCCUCCCAAAGUGCUGGGAUUGCCUGGACUCAGCGUUCGGACAUUUUCUCUCCGUGUGUCUAAGGGAGGUGGUAGCGCACACGUGGACUUUGGAAAGAAAAAGACAACCGGGAAAACGUAGAUGGUCCGUGUGCUGUCUCGAGAAGGCCGCUCCAGAGGGGUGAGGACGGCAUCGGUGAUUCGUGGCCCGUGAGCGCAGCUGGUGCGCCCUGCAGGGCUGGGGGGCCGCGGAUGGAACGUGCCGCCUUCUAAUCACCCGGCAGAAGCGUGGGCGGGAACAGAGGCUCCGCUGCUGAGCCCAGUGCUCACACUGCCCAAAGCUUCCAGGGUGCGUUUGAUUGUGGGGGUGACUGUAGCGACUCCGAGUUAGAAGGACCCCGUUUUGUCCUAGAAUUUUCACCAGGUGUGUUUUUAAUUACAGCAGGGAGAGAGGCAUUGAAUGUUUUGCUGUUUGAGCUUUCCCAUACAGUUCGGGUUUAAUUCAUGAAAUUGUUAUGACAAGUCUGGCAUUAAGAAAAGAAAACAUAUUUUAGGGUAAAUCUGAUUCGCGGUUCCCAGCCCAACUUUCAUUUAAAAAUUUCCUUUGUCUGGCACAGCCAGAGAGCUUCUGGCACCUUCCCUACUCUUCUGUGGCACAGUCACCUGAGGUCUACUCCGCACUUGACAUGGAAGUGAAUAAACUAAUGUAUUCCAACGUUUAUUUUCCUAACACGUGUGUUCUGGUCAUACAGCAAUAGGCUAUUUGCGAUUGCAUAUUAUAAUGUAUUCUUUGCAGCUGGAAAAAGUACAUAUUUUGGGAAAAUAAGCAUAGGACUCAUUUGACUUUAAAUCAUCAGAUGAGCCUUAAAAAGCCUUUUAAAGGAGACCUCCAGGCUUGCUAUGCUGAAUGCGGAUUGUCCAUGCAACUUAGGGGAGGAUUUUUUCUGUAUGUUUAAAAAUAAUUCCAAAACAUAAAACUGAUGACUUAUUUGAAUAUUACUUAAAGAAGAUUCUUAUCAUUUAGAGAUAUAUGCUGAAAUAUUUGGAGAUGAAAUAGUAUGAUACCUGAGAUUUAUUUCAAAGUAACCUGGUUUAGAGACUAGUGGGUAUGACUGAGAUAAGAUGUGCUGCACUGAGGGGGUGGCAGGACCAAGGACCAAGGGUGCUGGAGACGGGAGGACAGCAGAACUGUGGUCUGAGGGUGCUGGAGGGGGCGGCAGGACCAAGGACCAAGGGUGCUGGAGAUGGGAGGACAGCAGAACUGAGG